GUCACUUUUGCCCAUUGUCUGGUGCUACUGGGAUCAAGGAAAGGAAGGAGGGAAACGGGAUAGAAGGUUGGGAAUAGGGUGUGCUACAAAGGAAAUGAAAAAAAGUUCUGGUGAAAUGCAGGUGGUAGCAAAACAUAAAUGACUCCAAACUUCAGACAGGGAAGCAAAUCUUUUCCCUUCUAGGGUUGGUUCUCUUAGUUCUGCCCCACCAGCUUCUCUGUCUUUCCAUCACACUAGGAAGAGCAGGUCAGGAAUUCAGGACAGGGCUGUAAAGGACCAUCUGCUUUUGAGCUGCCACAGGGUCUGGAAUUCAUGGAGGUUACAGGGUUAACACCAUGU
rnacentral:lncRNA from 1 species